AGCCUUGUACACACCGCCCGUCAAGCCACGAAAGCGGGGGGCGUCUAAAGCCGCUCGUCUAACCGCAAGGAGGACGGCGUCCAGGGCGAAACUCGUGAUUGGGACU
rnacentral:rRNA from 1 species